rnacentral:rRNA from 1 species
UGGGGAAUAUUGCACAAUGGGCGAAAGCCUGAUGCAGCAACGCCGCGUGAGUGAUGAAGGCCUUCGGGUUGUAAAGCUCUGUCUUUUGGGACGAUAAUGACGGUACCAAAGGAGGAAGCCACGGCUAACUACGUGCCAGCAGCCGCGGUAAUACGUAGGUGGCAAGCGUUGUCCGGAUUUACUGGGCGUAAAGGAUGCGUAGGCGGAUUUUUAAGUGAGAUGUGAAAUACCCGGGCUUAACUUGGGUGCUGCAUUUCAAACUGGGAAUCUAGAGUGCGGGAGAGGAGAAUGGAAUUCCUAGUGUAGCGGUGAAAUGCGUGAGAUUAGGAAGAACACCAGUGGCGAAGGCGAUUCUCUGGACCGUAACUGACGCUGAGGCAUGAAAGCGUGGGUAGCAAACAGGAUUAGAUACCCUGGUAGUCCACGCCGUAAACGAUGAGUACUAGGUGUAGGAGGUAUCGACCCCUUCUGUGCCGCAGUUAACACAAUAAGUACUCCGCCUGGGAAGUACGAUCGCAAGAUUAAAACUCAAAUGAAUUGACGGGGUC